rnacentral:rRNA from 1 species
GAGUUUGAUCAUGGCUCAGAUUGAACGCUGGCGGCAUGCCUUACACAUGCAAGUCGAACGGCAGCACGGGAGCUUGCUCCUGGUGGCGAGUGGCGAACGGGUGAGUAAUGCAUCGGAACGUAUCCUGGAGUGGGGGAUAACGUAGCGAAGGUUACGCUAAUACCGCAUAUUCUGUGAGCAGGAAAGCGGGGGACCUUCGGGCCUCGCGCUCUUGGAGCGGCCGAUGUCGGAUUAGCUAGUUGGUGAGGUAAAGGCUCACCAAGGCGACGAUCCGUAGCAGGUCUGAGAGGAUGAUCUGCCACACUGGAACUGAGACACGGUCCAGACUCCUACGGGAGGCAGCAGUGGGGAAUUUUGGACAAUGGGGGCAACCCUGAUCCAGCCAUGCCGCGUGAGUGAAGAAGGCC